GACGGGGCCCGCACAAGCGGCGGAGCAUGCGGAUUAAUUCGAUGCAACGCGAAGAACCUUACCAAGGCUUGACAUACACCGGUAACGCCCAGAGAUGGGUGCCCCUUUGUGGUCGGUGUACAGGUGGUGCAUGGUUGUCGUCAGCUCGUGUCGUGAGAUGUUGGGUUAAGUCCCGCAACGAGCGCAACCCUCGUCCUAUGUUGCCAGCGGGUCAUGCCGGGGACUCAUGGGAGACUGCCGGGGUCAACUCGGAGGAAGGUGGGGAUGACGUCAAAUCAUCAUGCCCCUUAUGUCUUGGGCUUCACGCAUGCUACAAUGGCCGGUACAAAGGGCUGCGAUACCGCGAGGUGGAGCGAAUCCCAGAAAGCCGGUCUCAGUUCGGAUUGGGGUCUGCAACUCGACCCCAUGAAGUCGGAGUUGCUAGUAACCGCAGGUCAGCUAUACUGCGGUGAAUACGUUCCCGGGUCUU
rnacentral:rRNA from 1 species